GUCGUGUCCGACUCUUCGUGACCCCAUGGACCAGAGCAUGCCAGGCACUCCUGUCCUCCACUGCCUCCCGCAGUUUGGUCAAACUCAUGCUGGUAGCUUCGAGAACACUGUCCAACCAUCUCGUCCUCUUCUCCUUGUGCUCUCCAUCUUUCCCAACAUCAGGGUCUUUUCCAGGGAGUCUUCUCUUCUCAUGAGAUGGCCAAAGUAUUGGAGCCUCAGCUUCAGGAUCUGUCCUUCCAGUGAGCACUCAGGGCUGAUUUCCUUAAGAAUGGAUCGGUUUGAUCUUCUUGCAGUCCAUGGGACUCUCAAGAGUCUCCUCCAGCACCAUAAUUCAAAAGCAUCAAUUCUUCGGCGAGCAGCCUUUCUUUAUGGUCCAGCUCUUACUUCCCUACAUCACUAAUGGGAAAACCAGAGCUUUAACUAUAAGGACCUUUGUUGGCAAGGUGAUGUCUCUGCUGGUGCUAUUUUCCCUGGAAAUCACCUCCCUUGUUCUCUUAUCUUCUUCUUUGGCGAUCACUCAUAGCUGAGUAAGAUUGUAAGUGUGGUUUAGUGGUUAAGAGCGGUGGACUCAUAAUCUGGUGAACCAGGUUCACUUCCCUGCUCCUCCACAUGCAGCUGCUGGGUGACCUUGGGCUAGUCACACUUCCUUGAAGUCUCUCAGCCUCACUCACUUCACACAGCAUUUGUUGUGGGGGAGGAAGGGAAAGGAGAAUGUUAGCCACUUAGAGACUCCUUCAGGUAGUGAUAAAGCGGGAUAUCAAAUCCAAACUCUUCUUCUUCUUCCAUAAACACGGUAUUAACAGUGAGUCCAUAAGUGACUGUGGAGGCCAAUUUUGGAUCCACACGUCCUUCCACAGUGGGGACACAUGUUUCCGGGUGGGAGUUGAUCACGGUGUGGGUUUGCCAAGCGUGCCCUCCUCUUAGCGCGUUUCUCCCUUUAAUCCUGAGUUUGAGUGUCUUCAAAACCCAUGACGCCUUUGGUAAAGGCUGUUUUCCAAUUGGAGCGCUUGCAGGCCAGUGUUGGUGACCCAGUUGUCGGUGUUUAUACUACAUUUUUUUAGAUUUGCCUUGAGACAGUCUUUAAACCUAUUUUGUUGACCACCAGCAUUAUGCUUUCCAUUUUUAAGUUUGGAAUAGAAUAGUUGCUUUGGAAGACGAUCAUCAGGCAUCCACACAACAUGACCAGUCCAACCAAGUUGAUGUUGAUGAAUCAUUGCUUCAACACAGGUGAUCUUUGCUUCUUCCGCUACACUGGCUUUAGUUCGCCUGUCUUCCCAAGUGAUGUGCAAAAUUUUUCAGAUACACCGUUGAUGGAAUCUUUUGAGGAGUUGGAAAUGGCGUUUAUAAGUGGUGCAUGUUUUGCAAGCAUCUUCUUCAUUUUCUUUGGCAAUCACUUGUAGCCGAGUAAGAUUGUAUUCUAUAAACAUGGUUAUAGAAUAGAUCAGAGGCAAUUGUAUUUCAUCCAGCAGAACUUUACUGCUAGUGAAGGCAAAUGAGCAUAAUGGUCACAUAUCCAGUACAUUCAGGAUUGGCACUAUCCAUAAGAAAUCCAGUUGCAGCAGACUUAACUUAAACUUACAAUAACUUAUAGUAAGUCCAAACCUUAACACUAAGCAUACUAUGUGCAGAACACCUCCAGAAGGAAAAGAGAUAGAAAGAGAAAGUGAAACCCGGGCUCCUUCUGGCCUUUUAUGGUCAGCAUGACCUUGGCAGAAGAGAUAACAGAACCAGUUUAAACCAGCUGUACUCAGCUUCUCUGAAGGAAGCUUCUGCUUGUUUCUUUCACACAGAGAAGCUUUCAGAACCCUCUUGAAUUAAGUAGAAUAGGAAAGAUCCCUACACAUCAGAUCAAUACUUCCUGCACUAAGAAAUGCAAAGGCAAAUAAGAAAAGUGCCUCGGCUGCUUAUAAACCAACAUGUUCAGGAUGGCAUUGAAAGUAAAACAGUCAGAGAGUAGAUAGCUCCCAUCUUAGUACUCCAGCAAGGAAAAUAUCCAUGAAUAGGAAAAGAACUACCAAGCUGAUCUGAAGAGGUGGAGUACUAAUCUGUAAACUGCAUACUCUUCAACGUUACUUAGAUGAAAGUAGGGACAUUUCUUACUCCCUACCCCCACCCCGUGAGAUAUAAAUGCUGGUCCCCAGGACUUAGGUCCUGGACCCCUUUGAAAUAAUAAAGGCUGGGCAAAGUUGCUGAAGUUCAUACCUAUCGCGUCCACCUAUUGGAAUGUAAAAUCCAACCCCCAACUGGCUCUGACACCACAUCCAGAAUCUUUAUUCAGGAGGCUUUUCACAGGUGGGCUGCAACUUUGACUCCUUCCAGGUUUUGAUCAGGAUCCAUUCUCUCAAUUGGGUUUUAUAGGCAGUAAAGUCCAAGGGCAAUGGGAUGCUCCAUUGCAGCCACCACUGCUUGGAACAAACUGUGGCUCACCCUUCCCCCCCCCCCCAAGCUUGGUGGUGGCAGCACUGGUGGGAGAAAUUCCAGGUUCAAAUCAGAAGCUGGGGUGACUUUCGUAAUUCCAGGAAUGUCCCUCUGAAAUCCGGAGUUUGCAUCAUGUUGUAAGCCUCUCGCAGGCAUGUCCAACAGGUACUGUAUUUUUCGCUCUAUGGGACGCACUUUUUCCCCUCCAAAAAUUAAGGGGAAAUGUGUGUGCAUCCUAUAGAGCGAAUGCAGGCUGCGCGGCUAAGCCCAAAGCCGGAACAGGGAGACGAAGUGCUGCGCAGCUGCCUUCACCCCGCUGCCCUGCGGAGGCUACAAAGGCUGUCCCCGCAGCCAGAACAGCGAGACGGAGUGCUGCGGAGCGCUCCGUCUCGCUGUUCUAGCUUGCGGACGGCUGCGCAAAGCCCUGCUGCCCUGCGGAGGCUACGAAGGCUGUACGAAGGUGCCCCCCACUGCCAGCCCCACAAGCUCGGGGGCAGCGGGAAGGUGCCGCGCCGCCUCUGCGCUGCUCCGUGACCUGGUUUUGAGGCUGGCAGUGGGGGGAAGCAGCGCUUCCCACCACCACCAGCCCCACAAGCUCGGGGGGCAGCGGUAAGGCGGAGCGCCUCCUUCCCGCUGCUCCCCGACCUGGUCUUUGGGGCUGGCGGUGGGGGAAAGCAGCGCUUCCCCCCCGCCAGCCCCAAAGAGCAGGUCGAAAGGAACCCAAAGCCUCCGGAGGCUUCGGGUGAAUGCAUCUUGAACGCACAGAACGCACGUUGUUUUAGAGGGGGAGAACAAGAAAAAAAUCUUUUUCCCCUGUUCUCCCCCUCCUAUGGUCCGGUGCGUCCUAUAGAGCGAAAAUACGGUAGAUCAGUGGACGUCUGUGGUAGAUCACUGGUUCCCCCCCAAAGAAGCUCAACAACUUUUGCUCCCCUAAAAAAAGUGCCACAUUUACCCUGCACACCUCCAAAAUGGGACUUUCCUUCCUUAAAAAAGCACAACAACCUUGACCUGAACCCCCCAAAAGGUAGAUGACUGCCAGUUUUUAACUCUGUGAGUAGAUAGCAGUCUCUUGGGAGUUGUCCACCCCUGGAGAAUCCUGAAUUUAUUGCUGAAGCAUCUACAGCAGCAAGGAACCCCAGGCCUAAGCAUCAAAUGUCGCCCUCCACGCUUUUCUGUUUAGUUUUCAAGACUCCGCAUAGGCUAUUUCCUCUCCCCAAGCAAUUUCCUUCACCAACCCACCUCAGUCAUUUUUGCCUGGCUAGGAUAUAUCCUUGACUGUGAUAAUCCUUCUUGGUUGCCUGGACAGAGAAGUGCAGCUCUGUGUGUAGAAACCUUUUGGAAUGUAGCCUACGAUGCAAAUGUCGGAGUCCAUUGCACGCCCAUUUUUGCUUCUGCCAUCCUGUUUUCACAGUGGCCAACCAGAUGCCAAUGGAAAACUUGCAAGCACAAAACCUGCACGGAUGAAAUUUCUAGAUAUAAAUAACUAUCAGCUGCAAGAAUUUGGUCAGUAAGGACUUUUCAACAAAAUCGGACAGUUUGAUUCGUAUUAGAAUUAGUGUCGAACAGACGGAUUGGUAACAACUUACAAGGGUUGAUGUGCGUAGCUCUCAGCAGUGCAUCCUUGGUCUGAUUUAAAUCAUGAGGAUCAUCACAUUGUUCAAGCUUAGUCACAGCAGAGGAAGCUGUGGUAAACCACUUCUGUUUUGACACUGAAGUUAAAUGUCAUUUAGAAGUCAGCCAGCAUAUCACGUAGGUUCAGUAAAUCCUGCAAAUUAAGCCAGUAAUAGAAAUAAGGUUUGUUUUAGAAGAAGGACUGAAUUUCAGGAAAAUCACAAAGGAGAAACAAAUAUAUUUGCAUAAUAAAUUUCCAAUAAAACUCUUUUUUUUCUUUUCUUUUACAGCUUACCUAAAAUCCAUAAAGGGAAUAAGUACCUCAGGGUACAAUUUCAUUCUUUAGCAUUUUUUCUACGUUUGUGGAUUAACUUUGUAAGCCAUUUGUUCCUUUGAUUCCCUCUUACAUACAAGAUUCCAUGGACUAUAAAUAAGAGCAACAUAAUAGAAGCGGAUGAUAGUGACACUUUAAUAACAAUAGAUGUACAAUAACUCUAUACUAGUAUUACCUCUUGACUCUACAUCCUAGGAAGGAAACCAGAAAGACACCCUGCAACCCAUUUUUUUUCCUCUUGGUGACAAAAAUAGUUUUGUACAGGAACUAUUUCUUGUUUGACAAAAGGGGUGGGGAGCAAAAUGAAGAAAAAGAUGUAUCCGUUGGGUGUAGCCUCUGGCUGUAGUGAUGCCCAAUUUAUGAAUGGAAUACAUAUGAAAAGAGAUUUGUUCAUUCUUUGAAGAAUCCAUAUGUAAUGUGAUCUGGUGACAUUCCAUUGUGGUGUUUGAUCCAAGUUAAUGGUGGCAACUGUAACCUAGGUUUGUUGAUCAGUGAAAUAUACUCAGAGUCGAGAGUGGAUUUCAUGCUCUUUAUUCAGCUCAUAGUGGUGAGGAGGAAUGGAAGUUCCCCCAGAAUGUCUGCUUUAUAUACAUUAUUUACACAAUGGGCCCCACGUGAUUGGCUAAUUCCGGGAUUCUCCUGUAGGCCAAUCAGGUUGCGGAUUCACUUCCACCUGGAGCUGGAUUGGGUGGCUCCUGUGGACCAAUCAGACUGCUGCAUUCUGGAGCCUAUUGUUCUAGGGCCAAUCAGGCUGCUGCAUUCUGAAUCCUAUUGUUCUAGGACCAAUCAGACUGCUGCAUUCUGAAUCCUAUUCAACUCAGUACAUAACACCCACAAAUAACCUAGAGAUGCAUUUUAAAUAAAAGCACACAUUCUACUCAUGUAAAAACACGCUGAUUCCUAAAAUUAGCAAAGGUUUACCAUAACAGUGAUAAUUUAUGUUGGAAAUGUAAAGAUAAAGAGGGUACUUUUUAUCACAUGUGGUGGACCUGCCCCAAGGUGAAAGACUUCUGGGAGAAGAUUUAUAAUGAACUGAAAAAAAUGUUGAAAUAUACAUUCAGUAAGAUACAUUCAGUAAGAAACUUCUUGGAAUAACAGGUUUGGAAUUGCCCAAGAAGGAUGUUAAAUUAUUUUUGUAUGUCACAGCUGCUGCUGGAAUUUUAUUAGCUAAGAAUUGGAAAACACAAGAAGUACCAACAGUGGAAGAUUGGCAGAUGAAGAUGAUGGACUUUUCGGAGCUAGCCGACCUGACUGGAAGAGUCCGUGACCAGAAGGAGGAGGAUUAUCAGGAAGAAUGGACGAAACUAUUUAGUUAAAUAUGUUAAGUUAAAUUAAUUGGAGAAGUUUGCAAAUAACAGAUAGGCUUAGGACAUAACUAGGUAAUGGGAUGAAUUAAUAUGUUUAAUACUGAAUUGGAAAGGAAAAUAUGAUGAUGUUAAGUGAUUAAGUUAAUUUUAUAAGAAUAGUGGUUUUGGAAAACCGUUAAAAUGAUAUACACUGAAAUUCAACCAAGGGGAUACGAGGAAGUCACCUAACAAUGUUAUUAAGUUUGGUUUAAAUACGGUUGAGAUUUAUGUUUGUUUGUUUGUUUGUUUAAAAAAUCUUU